rnacentral:rRNA from 1 species
UACAGAGGGGGCAAGCGUUGUUCGGAAUUAUUGGGCGUAAAGGGCUCGUAGGCGGUUUGUCGCGUCGGGAGUGAAAACCAGGUGCUUAACACCUGGCUUGCUUUCGAUACGGGCAGACUAGAGGUAUUCAGGGGAGAACGGAAUUCCUGGUGUAGCGGUGAAAUUCGUAGAUAUCGGGAGGAACACCAGUGGCGAAGGCGGCGAUCUGGGUCGAUACUGACGCUGAGGUGCGAAAGCGUGGGGAGCAAACAGG